rnacentral:rRNA from 1 species
UACAGAGGGUGCGAGCGUUGUCCGGAAUCACUGGGCGUAAAGGGCGCGUAGGCGGCUUGAUAAGCGUGCGGUGAAAGCCUGGGGCUCAACCCCGGGUCGGCCGUGCGAACUGUCGAGCUGGAGCACUGUAGAGGCAGGUGGAAUUCCGGGUGUAGCGGUGGAAUGCGUAGAGAUCCGGAAGAACACCGGUGGCGAAGGCGGCCUGCUGGGCAGUGGCUGACGCUGAGGCGCGACAGCGUGGGGAGCAAACAGG